rnacentral:rRNA from 1 species
CCCUCCUCAAGAUGAGAUUUCCCAUAACGUUAAGUUAGUAAGAGCCCUGAGAGAUGAUCAGGUAGAUAGGUUAGGAGUGGACGUGUGGUGACACAUGGAGCGGACUAAUACUAAUAGCUCGAGGACUUAUCCA